AAGUUCUUACAGUGGGGAUUUGAAGAACAAUAUGAAUCAGCAGGAACAUAAAGAUACACCAAAGCAAAGGUAAAUUUACUUAAGAUACACUUUCUGCAAUUAAUGUUUCUUGGCAAUUAGUUAUAAGAAUUUUCGUCUGAUAUUUCCUGCCAAAUCUGUUGUCGACUGGUAACGCAGAAAACAGUUGCAUACAUGGACAGAACUAGUGAGAAUUAACUCGGAAAAUGGGCUUGAAGGACCUACAGAUGAUGGGUAUAAUUGGAGAAAGUACGGGCAGAAGGGCAUUCUGGGAGCUAAAUAUCCCAGGUAUAGUGUGCCAAAUGCACCCUUAUUCUGCAUAGAAGAGACCAAAGCCACCCAUUAACUAGUUAACCAUGUCUGUCCACACACACACACACACAAAGAACAAAAGUAAAGAAAGUGUAAACAAAUCUUUAACAGGUAUAUUUAUAUUUGCAGAAGCUACUAUAGAUGUAAAUACCGUCAUCUUCAAAACUGUUCCGCAACAAAGCAAGUGCAGGGAUCUGAUGAUGAUCCUACAACAUUUGAGAUAACAUACAAAGGAACACAUACGUGUAAGCAUUCUGCGAAUGGAGUUCCACAGCCAGCAUCAAUUGGAAAACAAGAAUUAAGACAUAAUUCUCACAAACAUCAAUCACAAACGAACCAGAUGCUUUUAAACAUCCGAGCAGAUCACAGAGUCCAAACUGAGGACUUGGAGAAAACCGAGAAGCCAUCUGUGUCCUCAUUUCCCUCAACAUUUGGAUGCUUAGGAGAAAAUUCUACAUUCCUGAUCUCUACGCUUGUUGAUGACAAUCACUUCGAUUCUUAUUCUCAAUUCAUGUCAGAAUCAAAUUACUUACCCUACCAGAGGAGCAGCUUUGAGGGUGAUCAUAAUUUACAAUUCCUAGAGUCUGAUGUUGCUGAGAUAAUAUCAGCCAACACUUCGACAAGCAAUUCUCCAAUUAGAACCAUGGAGUUCCCAGUUGAACCUUAAUUUUCCAUUCGACACCUCAGGAUUUUCUACAUAAUCAUAAAUUUGAUGUUGCAGAAGAGGAAAAUAAAUAGAAGAUAACGUGAUUCUGUACCACAGUAUUUGAUCCUUGUCGCAUUAAAAACCAGAGACAUUCUUGUAAAAAUUAGUUAUAGUCUCAAAAUGCUAGCAGAUAAAUUAGGAAGUAAAAAUCUAUUUAUUAAAACUUCUGCAGUCUAAUUUUCAUUUACAGCUGCUCAUUCAGUUUCUUCAAAAUCAACUAGUGAAAUUUAGCAUAACCUAGUAAGGAAGGUUAGCAAUUCGAAUCAAAAGGGUUCAUACAGAUGAAGGAAACCUGUGCAGGUUCACAGCUAAUUAACAAGAACAGAGCAUUAGAAUUAACGGUUCACAAGGAUUAAAGAACCUUUACAAUCAAUAUUAGAGAGGGUUUGACUAAGCUCAAAAAUUUUAACCAUAAAUAACACUAAGUAAUUUUAUAGUGAUCAAUUGAAAACAAUUAAAUUACUUAUUUUGACAUUAUGAAAAGAGGUAAUUCGAUAAGCUUAGUGACUUAUUUCUAUUAUAAGGAAGAAAGAAGUUCAAAUUCGUCUUUAUUGAAAAAUCGAAGAAAAAGUCCUUUCAUUAAAAGUCAGAAAAACUCGCCUAUGCUUUCUUUGUGGGUGCAUCUUGGCCAUGCGCCAUGCAGGAAAAGUUGAAGCAACGUCUUCAGUAUCUGUUGAUGGAAGUUCUUACAGUGGGGAUUUGAAGAACAAUAUGAAUCAGCAGGAACAUAAAGAUACACCAAAGCAAAGGUAAAUUUACUUAAGAUACACUUUCUGCAAUUAAUGUUUCUUGGCAAUUAGUUAUAAGAAUUUUCGUCUGAUAUUUCCUGCCAAAUCUGUUGUCGACUGGUAACGCAGAAAACAGUUGCAUACAUGGACAGAACUAGUGAGAAUUAACUCGGAAAAUGGGCUUGAAGGACCUACAGAUGAUGGGUAUAAUUGGAGAAAGUACGGGCAGAAGGGCAUUCUGGGAGCUAAAUAUCCCAGGUAUAGUGUGCCAAAUGCACCCUUAUUCUGCAUAGAAGAGACCAAAGCCACCCAUUAACUAGUUAACCAUGUCUGUCCACACACACACACACACAAAGAACAAAAGUAAAGAAAGUGUAAACAAAUCUUUAACAGGUAUAUUUAUAUUUGCAGAAGCUACUAUAGAUGUAAAUACCGUCAUCUUCAAAACUGUUCCGCAACAAAGCAAGUGC
rnacentral:lncRNA from 1 species